rnacentral:rRNA from 1 species
UACGGAGGGUGCAAGCGUUAAUCGGAAUUACUGGGCGUAAAGCGCGCGUAGGCGGUUAGAUCAGUCGGGUGUGAAAGCCCCGGGCUCAACCUGGGAACUGCAUUCGAUACUGUCUGACUGGAGUAUGGGAGAGGGCAGUGGAAUUCCAUGUGUAGCGGUGAAAUGCGUAGAUAUGUGGAGGAACACCAGUGGCGAAGGCGACUGCCUGGCCCAAUACUGACGCUGAGGUGCGAAAGCGUGGGGAGCGAAC